ACACUCCUGCGGGAGGCAGCAGUGGGGAAUAUUGCACAAUGGGCGCAAGCCUGAUGCAGCCAUGCCGCGUGUAUGAAGAAGGCCUUCGGGUUGUAAAGUACUUUCAGCGGGGAGGAAGGCGAUAAGGUUAAUAACCUUGUUGAUUGACGUUACCCGCAGAAGAAGCACCGGCUAACUCCGUGCCAGCAGCCGCGGUAAUACGGAGGGUGCAAGCGUUAAUCGGAAUUACUGGGCGUAAAGCGCACGCAGGCGGUCUGUCAAGUCGGAUGUGAAAUCCCCGGGCUCAACCUGGGAACUGCAUUCGAAACUGGCAGGCUAGAGUCUUGUAGAGGGGGGUAGAAUUCCAGGUGUAGCGGUGAAAUGCGUAGAGAUCUGGAGGAAUACCGGUGGCGAAGGCGGCCCCCUGGACAAAGACUGACGCUCAGGUGCGAAAGCGUGGGGAGCAAACAGGAUUAGAUACCCGUGUAGUCCCAUGAU
rnacentral:rRNA from 1 species